rnacentral:lncRNA from 1 species
UGGUUCCUUCUGGCGGCAGGGCUGGGACGACAUGUGGCACAGCUAUGCCUACGGCAAAGCCGUUGGCAUAGAUAUUUAUGCCGUCGGCUUUGCCGUCGGCUUUGCCGUAGGCAUAGCCCUGCCACGUGGCGCGCGCCCCUGGUGUCACGACAGCCAUCUAUGCCUACAGCAUUGCCGUCAGCAUAGUUGCUGACCAGAACCAAAAAAAAGAUUAGCCAACAAGGCUAGCUAUUUACCAAUGCUUAUACAAACAUGAUUCAACAGCCAUGGAUUUGCAAACACAGACCAUAGUAUAUUUUUUAUGUACAUAACAUUUCCAUUCUAAGAAUCCACAACAACAUUAUAGGAGGCCGAGGGGCGGUGGUGGGGGAGACAAGGCUGCAACGAUGGAGGUGGCAUACAGUCAGUACAACAAACAAAAGAUCCUACAUAUGAGGAUGAAUAUGUAAUCUAUACAUUAAAUUUACCAAAAGAAAAUCACCUAGAACUAAAAAGGCAGAAAAUUAUUGCUUUUGUUAUAGAUAACUUGUCAUGUUGGUGCUUGAACCGAACAAUACUACUAAUACAUACAGUACAGAGAUGCUCCAGUUUCGGUUGUAUCUAUCAAGCAUCAGUUCUUGUUCAAGGCAAGCUUCAAAGAGAAAAAGAGUGGUGCUGAUUCAUAUGUAUAUAUGUAUAUACAGAAGAUGCAAGUGUCAUCAAGUUCGCUUUAGUCAAAGUAAAAACAAAUGGACACAUACAAAACUGAACCAAGGGUGGUGCUGAUUCAUGUGUAUGUACAGAUUGAGGUGCCAGCCAGUUGGUUUCACUCAAAGUUCAACCAAAAAAAUUGACACAUACAAAUUGAAGAAAAGUGUGGUCCUGAUUCAUAUGUAUGUAUGUACAGGAGAUGCAAGUGCCACCAAGAUAGAUAGUUUCAGUCAAAAGUAAAAAACAAUUGGAUACAUACAAACUGAAGCAAACCGUCGUGCUUUUUCAUGUGUACAUACAAAAGAUGCAAGUGGUAUCCAUAAUUUGGAUAUAGGUAGUACGCUCAUGUGGUGAAUUUUGUGAAUCUAUACUCUGCAUCUACCAAAAGGAUCACCCCCCUCACAUGCAAAUAUAAUUCAGUCCAAUGGCUUUCUUCUCCCCUCACAUGCAUAAGACGAGAGCAGACCAUCUAAACAGGCGGACCAGACCUUCACCUUGGGAGAGAGGCGAGUGCUACCUGUUGCCAUGUCGUCGUCGAGCUCGGGUGGUCCUCCUCCUCCUCCUCGAGCAAGACAAGGUUGUUUCUCCCCUACACUCCAAUGGCCAUCUUCUCCAAGGACAUCUACAAGGCCAGAACACACCAUUGAUGCAAGUGUCACCAAGAUAGUUUCAGUCAAAGUUAAAGCAAAUGUAAAUAUGCAAACUGAACCAAACCGAGGUGCAUGUUCAUAUGUGUGUGUAUGUAGAGAUGCAAGUGCAAUCUGAAUUUUGGGGAACCAAAGCAUGGUUGUUGUCGUUGUUGUUGCUACUUUAGCAGCAACAACAUCCUUGAAACCAAACAAGGGGCAAGUUGUUUUAGCAGCAGCGCAUACUAGUAAUUAGCUAGGACCAUUAUUAUUGAACAACCAUUCGAGGACGGUGGCAGACACAUCAAUCUCAUAAGGCUCUACUGGAGAAACAAAAGCAUAGGAUAUGUGAUGCUGGCAAUCUUAGCACAAGAAGAAAAAAACACAGCCUCUCCGAUAGAAUGGAUGGAUGCAUCAUGCACAAUCAUCGGUUCCAUCAUUGCAGCACUAGUUGAGCAACAAAUCAAAUAUAACAGUAGUUCCAUUCGUUCAGCCAACAAGUUAACAAAAGUUUACUUCCCACUACUAAUUUUGCAACUUGUCAUAAUAAAGAAAACAGAGCUCAAAAUCACAGCAACAAAAGCAGUAGACUGGGAGCCUGGAACCAUGCAAACCAAAUCGCAGAGCAGAAAAAUAACAGUACUACCUGGAGCAAUAAGAAACUCAACGGCCUAGGGCAACAUUUGGAAGGAGACAAGCAAGUACUACAACAGCUAGCUGGGCUGAAUUGAAGAUUAACCAAAAUCAUAUCAAGUAUUUGUUGAGCAUGAUUAUACACGGGAAGGGGAAGGGGUUCACGGCAGGGACCUUUAGGUCAUGACCUGGCUUGCAUCUCUCCUCCUCAUGUGCAUUGGUUUGCAUCCAAUCCUUGCAGUCCAAUCCAUGGAAGUCCCUCCCUCCCUGCAUCUCUAGAACACGACACUUAAAUUUCAUCAACUUCCAUUGCUACUGAUAAAAGAGGAGCAAGAUGUAUAUGCUGCAUAAAUCAUACAUGGAGAAGCAAGUUGCUUGAAAACAGAGGAGGUCCAUGAUGGUUGUUCUCAUUCGCAACAGAAAAACUCAGAAAAAUGCACAAGUGCAUGCUAUCUAUGGAUACACCAACUCUAUCAGUACCUGGCACCCAAACUAAGAAAAAAAUUCAUUCAUAUGCAGCAACCUAAACUCAACUUUGAGAGAGCGGACUGAUUAACAUUUUUUUGUUGGGUCGAAUUUUUCACAAAUAUAGAUAGUGUAACGCCCGUGAAAUUAAAUUAUGCAAAGUAGUAUAGUAGUAAUAUUUUAAGCCAAUUAUAGAGAUUAUCGGAUGGAUUGAUAGCUUGCACUAAUAAUAUAUAUGAUGGAUGCCACUGUUUAAGAAUUAGCAGUAGUUGCUUAGAACCCAAAUGCAUGUACACGUACUGGUCUAGGCAGACUUUUUUUUCUUUCCCUUAAUUUGUGAGAAGAGUUAGACCAGAUAUUUUGCUCAACAAGUAGCUGGCUGUAGGAAGGGUCGAGGAGGCAACUGAAAAUAAAAUGUUUAGUAAAUGGAAAUGAUUAUGCUGCUGACUCAGGUACAGGCCAGCAAGCUUAUCUAUUCCUGUUGUCAGACAUACGUGUCAAUUAGAGCAAUUUUACUUACUGUCUAUUCCUGCACGCCUAUAUAAAGGGCCAAGGGCCGGGUAGCUGGACCUCACACCACAACCAUUGUCUCUCUUCACUAGAGGUAGUAGUAGUAGAGCCGUAGCUGCUGGUGCAGAGCAGGCGUUAGAAAUCUUGCUGCUGUGUCAAGAGAAUCGGGAGAAGGCAAGCAUGCGUUCCAUCUAGCUUCUCCAGAUGUCCUGUUCCUUCUCUUUCUUUACUCAUGCCAUGCCGCUGUUGCUAGUACUUCUCUAUAUGGCUAGUCUGUAGCACUAUUCUUGUUGUUAAUUCUUUCACCUCAGCUAGUGUGUCCUUGUACAGUACGCAUGGUGGUUUGGUUCUGCAUGCUAGUUGUGAAAGAUGCAUGCGUCCUAUCUCCCAAGAACUCCUCUAGAUUAAUUUGUCUUUUCUCUCUUUCUAUCUUGUACCACAUGCCUUGUUCUAACUAAGUACGCCUCACUUUUACUUGUUGGACCUGUACACUCGUUAUGCUAAGAAUAGCACAUGCAAGACUAGCUAAUCUUGUGCAGAAGCUAGGGAUGAUAUAUUGGUGAUCUUUUGAGAUAAUAUUUCCUCUUCUAAUGUUCCAGUCCUAAUGAAAAAUCUAACACUAAGGCAUCACGAUGGCAAAAACAUUGUACCGGUCACAGUUUUUCCCUGCUACAUGUGUGCUUGCUGAGUAUGUUAUCAUACUCAUUCUUGCUAUCUUUUUUUUUUGCAGAGAUGAGCAAUGGAAAUGAUGGUGAACAGUAGAAGUAGUACUACGGGAGGGGAUGAAAUAAAGAAACUUGCAUGCAUGUACUAGCAAGAACACUUGUAGUCGUUCCUAUGAUAAUGAAUAAAAAUGAUUCCAGUGUACUACCUUGGUUAACCUGAUGGCCUAACAUGCUUAUAAAUUUGAAUUGAAUUUAUAAGCAUGUGGCAAUUGUCACUGCUAUGUUUUGGGGCGUGACAGAUAGAAGCACUCCAAAAGCUACAUAAUAAAUCAUAGAGGCUGGCCGAACUAAUUGGCGCACUCAAACGAUACAAGAGAGCGGCCCGAUGGACAACUAAGCAAGCAUACACAGCAAGUAAAACUACAUCACCAAUAUUAUGUAAUUAACUGGAAGCUCUUGUUCAUCAUACCAGUACAAAUAUACUAUCUAUAUCUAUACUUUAAUCAUGCAGUCAAUUGAAGUAAAAGCUGGCUCGGCCAGGAAUCAAGCCUAGGAUGUGAAUUUGUCACAGGAUUUGUCACAGGAUCCAACUAGGCCACUGUACUUUACUUGUCAAUUGGAGUAAACCGAUUCUUCAUGUACAUUGUAAAGUAGUGCUAAAGUUCCCUUGAACGUGAUUCCACGUGUACGUGGAGAAUACAUGUGAAUAUGUGUGUCCGAGUAGGACUGGAAGUAGACAUGGCUAGGGGCUAUAUACUUAUACACUGGUAAAUUAUGGAAUUGAUUGUAAGCAUCAACAAAGAAAAAAAGAGAUUGUCACGAGCCUAUGGCCAAUAACAAAUUAGAGGACAAACUAAAAAAAGCUAACUAGAGAUUUCCUCUCUGUGUGUAUGUGUUCGUUGUGCUCUGGCCGGUGGGGGGAUGAUAAAAAAAGCAACUACUGCUAUGUAUGUUAGCUUGUCCAUCAGGUUAGAUCAAACUAGCUACCGGUGAAGGAUAUAGCCAGCUUCGUGUGGUGCAGUGCAUCACAUAUUCCUCUACUUAGCAGCAGCAGUAGUGAGCAGAGGAAGGAGGCGGAGGAGAUGGAGGUGCUACCUGCCGAGGUGGGUCGUCGUGGCCGUGCUUGAGCUCGGCAGCGCCCGCCUCCUCGAGCAGGACAAGGCCGCCAGCUAGGUGCGCCCCUCGUCCUCCGCCUCCUCGAGUAGGAAGGACGGCGCCCUCCUGCCGUCGCCGCCGUCCAGACCGCACCAAGGUGACCUGCAGCAAGGGAAGGAAAGGAGAAGGUGAGGUGGGGAGGGUGGAUCCGGGCGAGGAAAGAGGGGAAGGACGUACCUGCGCCACGCCCGUAACGGAUCUGUCGAGCUCUGGCCUCGCCGUCGCCGGAUCUGGCUGAUCCCGGCGAUGUUAGGGGUGGCGGUCGAAACCCUAGCUAGCCACGGGGUCGGUGGAGGACGGGAGCGCUGAUUCUGGACGGAGGGGAGGGUGGAGCGGACCUAGGGGAGCUCGGGGGUGUGCUGCGCGCCGCCGGAGCUCGCCGGAACCAGCCGGCGUCGGUGGUGGCGGCGGCGAGGGAGAGGGGUUCGUGGGGGAGAGAGGAUUCGCGAGAGACAGAGAGGUUCGUGGGGAGAGAGCGAGGUGCGAGAGACAGAGGGGUGGG